rnacentral:rRNA from 1 species
GACGAACGCUGGCGGCGUGCUUAACACAUGCAAGUCGAACGGUAAGGCCCUUCGGGGUACACGAGUGGCGAACGGGUGAGUAACACGUGGGUGAUCUGCCCUGCACUUCGGGAUAAGCCUGGGAAACUGGGUCUAAUACCGGAUAGGACUCCGGACUGCAUGGUCUGGGGUGGAAAGCUUUUGCGGUGUGGGAUGGGCCCGCGGCCUAUCGGCUUGUUGGUGGGGUGAUGGCCUACCAAGGCGACGACGGGUAGCCGGCCUGAGAGGGUGACCGGCCACACUGGGACUGAGGUACGGCCCAGACUCCUACGGGAGGCAGCAGUGGGGAAUAUUGCACAAUGGGCGCAAGCCUGAUGCAGCGACGCCGCGUGAGGGAUGACGGCCUUCGGGUUGUAAACCUCUUUCAGCAUCGACGAAGCGAAAGUGACGGUAGGUGCAGAAGAAGGACCGGCCAACUACGUGCCAGCAGCCGCGGUAA